GCGGCCCGGCUGAGCUCGGCGUGGGCAGCAGCGGCUGCGGUGCGAAGGCUCCGGCCUGCGGGAAGACGCUAACCGAGGCGGGGAGGGUCAAGCCAGCUGGCACGCUGCUGAGCGGGAGGGGCAGAGAGGCGCUGUAGGUCAUGGAGCCCAGGGGCGCCCCCACAGGCCCGCCUGCCAGGCCCAGCGCCGGCGAGCCGGGCCCUUCCCAGUUACCCAGCCCAAGUUGGGAGGCAGAAGAUCCAUGUCACAGAUGGCCUGCAGCCUCAGGACCACCCAGCAGGCUGGAGCCCCUAUUUGACAAGUGACCCCAGGAACUGGGACCUGCAGGUGUGGGCGACUCAGGCCACCUUCCCAGGCGUGCUGAGCAAGUGAGUGCAGCGAGAGAACAUUUUGCUGCGUUUCCUAGGAGCUGGGCCCUUCAGACAUUCUCCAUAGCCCUCACUACGAAAGCCUGUCCCACAGGCGGCGGAUCAUUCCACAGAUACCUAUUCAUGAUCCCUCACCUCUGCACAGUGCUUUACAGUUUAUAAUGUUUCUUCAUCCACAGAGUACCUGAUUUUCAUAACAACCCUGUGAGGCUCUCUGUCCCGCUGAUGGUGGACCACGGCCCCUGCACCAUUGGCCAUGGGGGAGCCAUCACCCUGCCAGGACCUCACCUCCUGCAGAAGGCACAGAAAGAGUUAGGAGCAUGAGCAGCUCAGGCGGGAAUCCGGGGACCUGUGCACCAGAGGCUGGAGUCGAGAGAGUGCAGGGUGGGAGGCAGCUGAGAGGUUAGGAGCAGCAGGGCCACCGGGUACAGCGGGAGGAGGCUGUUAGUGCCCUGAAGCACCUCCACCAGCAGCAGCAGCAGCACCGGCAGCCCAGCGGGCUCGGCCCACUACCUUCUCGUGCUCCUGCCGGCUCAGGCGCAGAGCCAGCUGCAGCUGCAGGUCCUCGUCCCUGUGGGAGGCUGGGGGGACAGGCUGCGGAGGAAGAGAGGGGUAAACUUGGCCCUGUACCCCCACCUUGGGACCAGAAGGGCAGUAUAGGCCUGCCUGGGUCAUGGGGAUGGAGACACUAAUGCCCACCCUCAGUGUGCAUGGGCCAUUUGCCGCUCAGUCAGCAGGGUGGGCGUGGCCUUCUCCCUGCCUGCAUCUGAAAUGCAGUUUAAAGGUCAGGAAGACUGAUCUUUCGCUUCUGAAUCCUCUGAGAGUUCCUCAGGCCCUCCUGUGUGAGGCCCAGCUGCUUCCUGCCUGGUCUUCCUGGAUCCACAGAGGUAAUGGCAAAGAUGAUGAUAUCGGGGGCCUGUCCUUGUCUCCCCAAAAGGAUAGCUGGUGGGCGGGGGUGGGAAGCAUAUCCCAGUGUCUCCUAGGAAUAUGUCUGAGCACACUCACCCACUCCACCAUGAGGUGGUAGCAGGCACCCCAAGACAUAGCAUGUGCCCCUAAUUGUACACUCGCCACCCUUUCCAGGCCCAGUGGAGAGGACUGGAGGCAGGGAGGCAGUCCCUGCCUGCGACAAACCGACAGAGAUAAUGGGUCUUGUGCUGUCCUUGGGCACAGGACUGGGGCUUUGGGUGACAGAGCCUGAGUCAAGGCCAAGGGGCUCCCAGGCACUCUCUCCCCCUAGCCCAUCCCCUCCCCACCGCAGUGGGGCUGCAUGGCCUCACCUUCUCUGCCUCCUCACGGCUCAUGGCGAGGGCCAGCUGCAGCUGCAGUUCCUCUUCCCCUGACGUCUGAGGCCGGGCCUGCUCCAGGUCGGAGGUAUAGCGGGGUGACGAAGAGGAGGCUGCAAUGACCAUCAUGUCUCUGUGACCACACGAUUACCCAUCGGCUCCCACACCCCUCUGCCUGCCAGGAAGCUGAGGCUCAAGAGAACUGAGAGGAGGGGAACAACGGCCGUUGAGGCCCCCGUGGGCCAAGCAGUGUGCCAGGCACUCUAGAUGGGGUCUCCCUGUGUUGUCUAGGCUGAUGUCGAACUCCUGGGCUCAAGCAAUCCACCUGCCUCAGCCUUCCAACGUGCUAGGAUUACAGGUGUGAGCCACUGGCCAGCAAGUUGAUUCUUUUUUUUUGGAGGUAAGAGUCUCACUCUUGUCACCCAAGCUGGAGUGAAAUGGCGUGAUCUCGGCUCACUGCAACCUCCACUUCCCGGGUUCAAGCGAUUAUUGUGCCUCAGCCACCCAAGUAGCUGGGACUACAGGUGAGUGUCACCAUGCCUGGCUAAUUUUUUGAAUUUUUAGUAGAAACGGGAUCUUACCAUGUUGCCCAGGCUGGUCUUGAACUCCUGAGCUCAGGCAAUCUGCCCACCUUGGCCUCCCAAAGUGCUGGGAUUACAGGCACGAGCCACCGCACCUGGUCUGCAAGUUGAUUCUUAAUAUCAAAGAGCCAUGGAAGGGUUGACGUUGACCCCCAUGGGUCCUCAGAGCCCUUUAAUUACUUUCUAGACCCCAUCAACCAUCUGAUAUCUUAGUGAUGUCACCAGUGGCAAAUGGAACUUUUGAUCAAAUGAGAUCCAGAGUGUGACCACAAUACAUGAUGUAAUCCCAGCUCCCCAGCUAUCCACAUUAGAGGAAGGCAAGACGUCGCCAAUAGACAUACUGACAUAUUGAAAAUGGCUUUGUGGACCUCCCCUCCAAAACAAACAACAACACUAACAAACAAAACGGAAAACCUGGGUGAAUUUCUAAGGACCUGCUACUUAAGAACGGAUUAGGAUGAAGUCUCUCUAGUCCUUCAAACUCUUACAGUUGAUGGGAAUGCACCCUGCAUGGUGUUCUCCCAAGGAACGCAUCUGCCAGGAUGCACCUAACGGGGAGUAAGAAAGAGAAGGGCUUCCUUCCUCUCUGUUCCCCUAGAGUCUGUUCUCCAAAGGGCGGCCAGAGCCACCUUCUAAAGCCUAUCAGACCCUAUUGCGUUUCUAUUCAAAACCUUGCGUGACUUCUCAUUUCACUCCGAAAAAUCCCAAGUCUUCACAAUAGCCUGCAAACCAUCCCCCACCCCUAUGACCUGCUCCCCACUACUGCCCUCUCCCUUCUGGCCCCUCCCUCCUAUGGCAGUUGCUCCCCAUGCCUGGAGCACUCUUUACUGGACGUCUACUUGGCCACCCUUCCCCUCCCUUCAAAUCUUUGUGGGUUGUCACCUCCUCACUGAGGCCUCUGUGCCUCCAUUCCCUGCCUGGUCUAUCUUCUCUCCCGUCGUACUCAUCAC
rnacentral:lncRNA from 1 species